rnacentral:rRNA from 1 species
GGCUUAACACAUGCAAGUCGAGGGGUAACAGAGGUAGCUUGCUACUUGCUGACGACCGGCGCACGGGUGCGUAACGCGUAUACAAUCUACCUUGUACAGGGGAAUAGCCCAGAGAAAUUUGGAUUAAUGCCCCAUGGUAUCAUUUUUUGGCAUCAUUAAAUGAUUAAAGCUUCGGCGGUAUAAGAUGAGUAUGCGUUCUAUUAGCUAGAUGGUAAGGUAACGGCUUACCAUGGCUACGAUAGAUAGGGGUCCUGAGAGGGAGAUCCCCCACACUGGUACUGAGACACGGACCAGACUCCUACGGGAGGCAGCAG